GUAUCUCCAGCACGGGAAAAAGCUUCAAGGACCACCACCACUGAGUUAACAGGCAUGAAGGAUUCAAUUAAAUUGCAGGCAAAAACUUCUGUCUCCAAAGUUUAUGCAAGUCCACCAAACCUUACUGCCAUGGCUUCCAAGUCGCUGUCUUACAAAGAAGUAGCUGUGGCACCACCAGGUACGGUUCUAAAGCCAUUACCAGAGAAACCUGAUGAAGAAAUUGAAGAAAAAACUGAAACACAGAUGUGCAGUAAUGCUCCUGAGACAUCAAAGGCGGAGUUGAAUAACCAUUUCUCUCCCGUUGAAGAUGCGCCACUUGAUGGUCAGUCUCAAGAAACUCAUGGAAGUGUAACUCAAUCUGAAACUACUGCUGCAGAUACCGAGGAAGUUCCUUCUUCUUCUAAUGAGGAAAAGCCCAUGGAAACAAAUGGGAGUAAGCUUUCUGCCACAGCUGAACCAUUCAACCCAGGAGCUGUCUCCAUGACUCAUCUGCUAAACUCUGUAGCAGCCACGAGUAUUUAUGAUGCGAGAACUAGUCAAGGUGUGCUUGCAGAACCUGCUGUACCUUCGGCUGCUGCUAGAGUUCCUUGUGGGCCAAGGUCGCCUCUCUAUUAUAGAAAUAAUUAUUCUUACAUGAUGAAACAUGGAUUUCCAAAAUACCACUCUUCCAUUAUGGAAAGAAACCUGUUGGGGCCUUCAAGAAUCAUGAACCCGCAUGCACCUGAGUUUGUGCCAAUGAGAGGUUGGCAAAUAAAUCCUGGAUAUGCAGAUUCAAAUGUUUCAAAUGAGUCGAACUCUUCAAAUGACACAAGUGAGGCAGACGAUGAGAAACUUGACAAAAUGUCCAGUAUUCAAGGCGAGGAUAAUACCUCAAGAAAGAGCAGUACAGAGGCGGAGAAGUCAGAGCUGGCAAGACAGAUACUACUUAGCUUCAUUGUAAAGUCAGUCCAGCAUAAUAUGGAUGCUUCAAGUCAAUCUUCAGGCUACGAAAAGAAGAUUGGGUAUUCAGAAAAUUCUUCAGAUGCAAUUGCAAAUGAUAGUGCUAUCAUAAAGAUCCUAUAUGGAAAUGAAAAGGGCAAAACAAACUUGGCAUCUCAGUCCAAUGAUCAAGAACAGCAAAAACCGAAAGAUGAAAACCAAAAAAGUGGGGAUGGUGAAGGAUUUAUAGUUGUCAGAAAACGGAGAAGAAACCGACAGCAGAUCACCAAUGGGGUAACUGAGAUGUACAAUCAUCAAUCCAUCUGUGCUUCUGUUCGUUAAAAGAGAGAGCAAAGCAAUAAAAUGCAAAGGUGCCGUCCUGUUUCUCCCAAUUUUAUUCGAAAAAUUUGUUAGUGAAUGUUACCGUUGUAGAAAUAAGUUUGGAGCAAGUUUUAAUCAAUACUUGAUUGUAUCAUUUUAGAUAUCCUCUCUGGAUGUUCUAAUAUAAUAUUUGUACAAAUCGGUUUCUUGUUUUGUUAAGAGAUUUUGUUUUGAUCAAUAAAUGAUGAUAAAUUAAUUGGGCGAUUUUCCUCAUCAAGAGAUUUGUGAUGUUGUUCUAUAAUGGAUUUUAAUGUUUUAGACUGAGUUAAUUAUGCCUCAAAUUAUUUGGUAUUUCGUUGGUGCGUGUGAACAAUACGUUCGGAAUGGAGUUGAAUUGACCCACUGAUAGAUAGCUUACAUUUGCAGCGGAAGUUGCUGCACUGAUGAUAUUACAACUAACAUAGUAGUUGGCAAAAUUCCUUGUUCAAUUUAAAUUUGCAAUCAACAGAAACUGAAGAAGAAGCCGUAAGUCUAAUCCUAAUGGAUGCAUAGCUGUUUGGAGAAAAGCCAACGGAGACAUAACACAGCACGAUAAGUUAUACACGGCAGAACCGUAUGUGCUAGUAAGCACAGUCACCGAUGGAAAACAUAUUUGAAAAGCCAAUAUUAGCAUGUGUCAAUACAUCUAUCAAUGAAAUAGAACCACAGUCUGCGCCAGUACGAGUUUAUCCAAAGUGCUGCAAAUAAACCCAAAAUCACUGACACAUAGGAUGCUCCAAAACUCCAUCUUAAUGCCACCAUAUCAAUCACAGAAUCGCCUUCAUCUUCUCCUCCUCCUGUAGGUGUCGCUGGUGGUGCCAACGCACUGCUGCAUUUCCUCUUUAUCAUUGAGCCACAAAGAGCCGAAUUACCUAUAUAACUGCUGUCAUCAAACGUGCCAAACUGCUCUUUGUCUGGGAUUGGGCCGGACAAAUUGUUGUAUGACACGUUGAAGUUUGAUAAAAAGUUGAGCUCAGUUAGUUGAGGAGGAAUUCGGCCACUUAAUUUGUUGCGGGAAAGGUCCAGGCUCUCUAUCAUUUUCAGAUUGGAGAAGCUCUCUGGUAUAGCACCUGAUAGUAAAUUAUUCGACAGAUUAAGUGCACGAAUAUGUUGAAGAUGCCCAAUUUCCCAUGGAAUUUCUCCACUGAACUCAUUGCUCGACAAAUCCAGUCCAGCCAUGUCGUCGAGAUUGCGACCGAUGAAAAAUUCAUAUCUAUACUUUGUCACAAAUUCUACACCUAGUUGAUCUGCUCUAUCAUGUAGUUCACCUUGCGGCUGCGGAUCAAGCGUGGAAUUGUAGUAAGUAAAACUGAAAUCACGAUUUGACACAGCAUAUCCGGAUGCAUAUGAGUAAUCAUCAAUCGCUUCUCUCCAGAAUGACACGUUACCCAAGCAUGAAGGUAUCGGCCCAUUAAGUCUGUUAUGUGAAAGAUCCAUGAUACCUAAUUUUCUUAAUUGGCACAACUGAUUAGGAAUACGUCCUUGUAGAUAAUUCCCUCUCAAAAGAAGAACAUGCAAAUUCGAAAGCUCAUUGAUCUGAUGAGGAAUCCUACCAAAAAAAUUAUUGUCCCUCAAAUCGAGAGUCAAUAAUGUAGAGCUUCUAAGCAAUGCAAUUGGAAUUAACCCAUUAAUUGCAUUGUUAUGCAGAUAAAUGUGCUCCACUGAUGAAAGAUUGGAGAGAGAUACCAUGGACCCAGACAAACUAUUUUCGGAGAUGUCUAUAAACUCAAGUCUUUCAAGAUUGCCGAGCUGGACCGGAAUACUACCUUGCAAAUAAUUUUCUGACAUUAAAAGAACCCAAAGGGCUGAGAAGUUGCCAAUCCAGUGGGGAAUAUCGCCGGAUAACUUGUUGUUGGAUACAUUUAAUACCUCUAGCAAAUUGGAGCUCAACAAACCAUCUGUCAUCUUCCCACUGAAAUGAUUGUUGCCCAAAAGCAAGGAAUUCAAAUGAGUCAAGUUCAUAUAAUUGGGAAAAAGUUGGCCAUAGAAAUUGUUAUUUGAUAGGUCCAACGUAUCUAAGGAGAGGCAACCAGAGACUAUAGGUCGAGAUAAUUCUCCUGAAAAAUUAUUUCUAGACAAAUCCAAAGUAAUUAGCUCUUUCAUCUCACUGAUUGAAUAAGGAAUAUUACCUUCAAAAUUAUUUUUUGACAUAUCUAAAUAUAUCAAUUUCUGAAAGACAAUACCCAAAUUUUCUGGUAGCUUACCAGAGAAAUUGUUAGUGGAAAUAUCUAGAUGACGAAGCUUAUCGUAUUUGGCAUUGGGAAGUCGUGGAAGAAUUCCUGAGAAUGAGUUAUUCCACAAAAUCAUAACUUCUAAUCCUGUGUUAUUUUGCAACAACCAAGUUGGGAAAUUGCCAACCAACUGAUUGUGAGAGAGAUCAAGGAAUUUUAAGUGGUGUUGGUGUAAAAGAAAACUAUUAUUGACAUUUAAGUGGCAGUAACAUAAUUGGAGAACCUUGAGAGGAUAUGUGGGGAGCCAGUUUUCGGUUUUCACUUGCAACAUAUCGUUUCCUGACGAGAGUAGCAAGACCUCAAGCUUUGAAUGAUUAGCCAAUGAAUUUAUUGAGAAUGUUCCUUGGAAAUCGAUGAAAGAGAGAUCCAAAUAUUCAAGUGAUGUGAGGUUGGUCAAGGCAGAAGGAAAGUUUCCACUUAACUGAUUGUAAGAAAUAUCAAGAACUUUGAGAUGGGUCAAAUUGUUGAGACACUGAGGAAGAUGACCCUCAAAAUUAUUUGACCUUAAAUCCAACUCAAGAAGAUUCUUCAAAUUACAUAUUCCUGAAAGUGAAAAUAAAAAGCUCAGAUUUCAUAAAACGAAAACUAAUUAUAGCACAUUCAAUCAUAAACCCAAUAUAAGACUUAUAAAACGGACAUGAAAUCAAAUUGUCUAAGUAUUUUGGUCAACAUAAAUAAUAAUAGAAUGAUAUGAAUUUAUUUCUCAUAUAAUAUGAUGUUGAUUGCAAAAGUGUUUCAAUUAAUCUAACAAUAAAAAAGAAAAUAAUAAUAAUACAAAAGCAAUCAUCAAUUCUUGCUCAUCAUAAUCCAUUCAAAAAGCGUUUCAGCAAUUCUCGUUGUUUAAAAUAAUGAUUUUCUGCGGAAGAGUUUGUUGACUUCGUCUUUUUCGUUGGAUAUUGGUUUUCUAAUCUCUAAAUUUGUUGGAUAAUGUAAAGAGAAACUCAUAAUAUAUUGGUUGCUUUCUUAAACUUUAUUUAUUCUUCUCAUAGCAUUAAACAAAUGUAUUUGCCCAAGCGGGGGAAAAAAAAAAAAAACUGGUCUUCGUAUUUAAUUUCGUCGAAGUACUUCGACCAACAAGUUACUGGGAAGUAGGAAUUGUGUAAUCAGUAAUGCAAAUAUUGGGUGCGUUGGUAUUGUUUUUAUAUGCUGUUUUUUAUUUUUUGAAUUUAGAAAAUAUUAGAUACGUGUUCGGUAGAUUGUUUCUGAAAAUAUUUUUAAAAAUAUAAAAUUCAUUCUACACAUUUUAACAAAAGAAAUGAGAAACAACUUUUUCUUAUUUUCCUUAUUUCCCAAUACAAUAUUAAGUUCCAAAAUGAAGAAUUCUCUUUACCUCCUCCUGAAAUAAUAAUAAUAUCAACAUUAUUAUUAUUAUUAUUAUUAUUAUUAUUAUUAUUAUUAUUAUUAUUAUUAUUAUUAUUAUUAUUAUUAUUAUUAUUAUUAUUAUUAUUAUUAUUAUUCUUGUUGUUGUUGUUGUUGUUGUUAUUGUUGUUCUUGUACCCAAAGAAUCAAUUUCCCUCACAAUAAUCUUUUCUUUUUAUAUACAUUAUAAUAUUUAUGUUUUUAUAUUAACUAAAUCAAAUAUGUAGGGUUUAUCAUUUUUCUUUGAACAAAAAAAAUAGAAAGAUCACCUAAUUUAUUCUUAAAAUUAAAAUAAUCAAUAUACAUUGCUUAAUCUUAAGUUUAUGGAAAUUAUUCCAAUAAUAAUUCUUUGAGACAUUCUUACCAAACAUAUUUGUUUUCUCAUUUUUGAGAUUAUUUUUUAAAAUGAUACUGAACACAUUUUUAAAUUUUAAAAAUAAAUUUAAAAAUAGCAUUUUCAUUUUUUUUGUGAAAACAACAAUUAGAAAACAAUAUUGGGCUCUUAUUUAUCAUGUUUCAACAUAAAAACACAGUGUAAAUGGUUUAAUAUGGGUUUCUAGAGAAUUUUUUAUAUUACUAUUACUCAAAUUCAAUGCUUCCAAGCUUUUGAAUUUAGCUAAUCUUGCACCAAGAAUUAAUGAACAUAAGGAAAAAAAAAUUUAUUCAGAACUAUAAAUAUUGAAAUAAAGAUAAAUAUCAUUGUUGAUUUUUUUGUAAAAAAAGAUUUAGAAUUAAGAGAGAGUGAAAGAAAUGAGCGGGUUAUGUCGGAAAUUGGUGAUAGAGUAUGUCAAGUACUAAACUUUGUAUAGAAAGCAGUGCUUCUAAUUUAAAUUUGAUCUAGUUUAAAGCAAUUAAAAAAUGCAAAUAUAUUAUCAUCUUGAUUAACAUCUAAAACAAUUUUUGUCAUUGGAGGAAGUGAGUUGUUAUAUACCUUGAAUUGUAGUUAUCCCACAAGAAUGAAGAUCCAAUGCUUUCAAAUUUGGCAAAUCUGCCAAUCCUACAUGCGCUAAUAAAAAAUGAAAAUAUUACAUUUAAAGGUAUUGUAUGUGAUCUGCGCGUUUGAAGAAUAUUAAUUCUUAAUUUGCUUCUUAUCUCAGAUUCAGUGGCUUACCUAGCGUUGUCAAAUUUUGAUUUAAGCUUAAAUCCAACACUUGCAGGUUUGUCAAAUUUGCUAAUCCUAUUAAAAAAAAACAUAAAUUUUGUCAAUAAUAGUUACAUCACUCUCGUCUAAAUUGUUUAAUUAAAAUAAUAUGAUAAAUAUUAAAUGAAAAUUAACUGUGCAAAUUGUUUAAUUAAAAAAAUUGCCUUCUAAAGAACUGUGUAUAUAAUAAUUAUAACUCAAAUCCAACGUUUCCAAGCUUUUUAAUUUAGCUAAUCCUGCACCAAGAAAGAAGAAAACUUUUAUUAAUCAUCUUUGGAAAAAAAAAAGAAUUAAGAUUAAGAAACAAAUUUCAAAGUUAGAUUAAAUAAUUGUAGUAAUAAAGCUUAUGAUGAUUAAGAUCUAAUUAAAUUGAUCAUAUACUCAAAAAUGAUUUUAUUUUAUUUUAUUUUUUAAUUUUACUAAGAAAUUAGAAAGUAAAUUUUUGUCGUGUACCAAUUGUAGUCAAGUUUGUCAAGUUUUCCAGUCAAAAAUUGCUUUUAAUUUGACAUUAUACAUAUGUAAAAAUUAAGGCCAUAAUAAUAUCACAAGGAAUUUGGGUAGUGACUUGUUGCCGUGUACCUUGAAGUGUAGUUAUUCCACAACUACCAAGAUCCAAUUCUUUCAGGUUUGUCAAAGAUAAUCCUAUACCAACGAAAAGCAAACUAUUACUUUUAAAAUUAUUGUAGAAGGUUGUGAUUAGUGUGCUAACUUGGUAGUUAUCUCAGUAGCCUACCUAGCCUUGUUAAAGAGCCACUAGUUAUAUUGCGGUUCCCGCUUAGAUCCAACACUUGCAAGUAUCUCAAAUUUGCUAAUCCUGCUCAGAAAACAUUAAUUUUGAUCAAGACAAUAUAAAUAUAUAUUUUAAUUAAGAAAUUAAUUAAGUUGCCUGACAUGUAUAUCUGCUGGCCUGAAACGUAUAUGUAUACCUUGCUUGGUUCUGGAACCUUCAAUCUUAUUGUAACGAAGAUUCAGAGUGGUAAGUGAAGUUAGUGUAUUCAAAUAUGGUAAUAUGCUGUCGUUGAAGUAAUUAAAACCAAGAUUUAAGGUCUUUAGCUGCUUCAAACUCCCAAAGCUAUCGUAAGCUGCAAAUGCAUAUGAAGUGUUAUUAUUAAUUAGUCACUGACAAAAUAUUUAUGGACGAGAAAUAAAUGUAUACAUAUAUACGGACCUCUAUUCUCACAGAAGCCUGUAAACCCAUUCCCAGGUAAGUCGAGCCUUUGCAAUUCUUUGAAAGGAUGAAACAAUGACAUAUUCAGAAGCGAAGCCGAAGUUCCAUCAUAAUAAUUCAAUCUCUUUGUAUAAUUGAGUGAGAGUUGCAUCACGCGUCGUGUGGUGGCGUUGCACAUAACUCCCUCCCAAUCAUCACAGCAAUCAGACGGCAUUCCAUCAUCCUCACCAACCCAUGAAGGAAGAAUUUUGUCAUCAUAUCCAAUAUCACUGACUAAUGAUAUGAAGAAGCUCUUGAUUUCCAACAGAGCAGUCCUCUCUGUUUCCAAGCAUCCUUUGUAUCCAUGAAUUUCAUUCAUCAAUACAAUAAUCCAAAUUAGUGACAUUAAUGAGAACUUAAUACAGGAAGUACUUUCCAUUGUAGAGCAACUUUUCAUUUGGUUAAAAUUAAAUGUGCAAUGAGCAACUUUCCAUUGCAAAGCAAUUUAUACUAAAAGUUUAUCGUAGGUCUUGCAAUUUGAUUGGCUGAAGACUUUUUUAAGACUUUCCAAUACAUUGCCAUCUUUGAAGACUUGUAAGCACUUCAUUAAUACCCCGUGGAAAAUAUAGAUAAAGUGAUUGUAAACUAUAAAUUUUUGUAAUAGUUUGAUGGAGAUAAUCAUAACUAAUAAAAAAAAAGUUGACUGAGAGAAUUUAAAUAAUUUAACCAUAUGUUUGGAUUUCCAUUGCAUUAUCAGUCAAUCUAUUAAAUAAUGUGUUUUGAGAAGAAUUUGAUUGGAUGUUUGUUAAGUUUAAAUUAAUUUAUUAGAAAAUCAAUAAUUAAUCAACGUAAAUUUUCAUAUAUGUUUAGUUAGUGUGGCGUUGUCUGAAAUGACAAAAAACAUAAAUGUUAUUUGAAGCACUUUUAAUUCGACCAAAGCUACUAAAAUCAAAGAUAUUGGGAAUCCUUAAUAAGGAAAGUUUCCAUUGCUCUCAGUCUGCACUCUUCAUUACUAUUGCAAUCACUUGAAAUGACUAAAACAGAAAUUUCGUAUGAACUUGGGACAGCUGCACGGGUCCAAUUUAAAUGACAACUACGUGGAAAAUAAAAAUUUUGCAUAUAUUAUUACAACUACGUGGAAAAUUAAAGUUGACUGACUUUCAAAUCAAGCCAACAAACAAGUGGCCAUCAACUCUUUUUCCACUAACAAUUAGUGGCGACGGUCAAUACUAUAGAAUAAAAGUUGACUAAGAAUUUAUGUAAUUUAAGAGUAUGAUUGGCCUUUUAUUGAAUAUUAUGAUUGGGUUUGCACUGAAUUAUCAAAAAAUCUAUUCAACGAUUUAUAUUCUAAAAUAUUUAGUGAGUUUAGAAAAUUAUUUUAUUAGAUUUUUGUUAAUUAUUAUUAUUAUUAUUAGAUGGCCAACAAUUAAUCAAGUAAUUUUCCAUAUAUAUUUGAUAAUUUACUCAUAAAAGCGUGGACUACAUUCAAAUGGCAUUUUAUAUGAUGUAUGAUAUAUGUAGAGGUGAAAUUUAAAUAGGCUUAAUUUUAUAAAUAAAUACAUAUGUAUUGCAGCAUUCAAUCAUUGUGUUAAAGCGCCAAUCACGGUGACCACCAAAACCUAUGAAUGAUUAGUCCAUUGAAACCCAAUGUAUGCUCAAUUAAUAUUUCCUAUCAAGAUCAAAUUUUUCGCUCUAUUGCUUCAACAAUCAUGAGCAUAAAAGCUCGAUUUAUACAAAAAUUACGAAUUUAUGAAAAAAAAAGUCACAUUUAUUAUAAUAUGAAGUUUGAUUGAUUUUUAAAUAUUGAUUCAAUCAAUCUUAAUGUUACUGGACAAUCGAUCUUAAUGUUAAUUCAAAAUCAAUCUUUAUUUCGAUGGGCACAGAUAAAGAUAAUUAGUUUUGGUCUCUAUAAUGACUGACGAAGACUUGUAGGACCUGGACCAAUGAGGAAAAACACUUUCAAAUUAAGCCAACAUGCAAAUGGUCGUCAAUUCUAUUUUUUACAAAAAUUGAUGGAGAUAGUCAACUAAUAAAAUAAAAGUUGAUUGAGAUAAUUUAAAGAAUUUAGGCAUAAGUUUGGCUUUUAAAUUAUCAAAUAAUUUAUUCCACUAUUGAUACUUAAAAAAGUGCUUUGGAAUUAAUAAUUCAAUAGGAUGUUUGAUAUAUUGGAAUUCGUGAAAAUCAAUAAUCAACUAUUUUUUAUACAUGUUUAGAAAUUUAUCCGGUGUGUAUAGGGGCUUGUAUAUUUCACAAUAAACAUGAAUUAGUACAUCCAUCGAUUGACGUAUAAUUAUAAUCAUAUAAUCAAACACGCACACUACAAGGCGACCUUCGAUUGACGUAUUCUGUCAACUAACCCGUGGGAGAUGGAGGAUGUCUUAACGUUAUAAAAAAAAUUGAUGAAUAAUAUAAUUCCAGGCAGUGCUAAAACCAUAAUGUACGCCAGUAUGAGUUUAUCCAAAGUCACCGGCUACACCAAUAUCAUUGUGACAUAGUAACAUUCUUGUCCCAUUGAGUGAGAGUUGCAUCACCCGGCGUGUGGUGGCGUUGCACUCAACUCCCUCCCAAUCAUCACAACAAUCAGACGACAUUCCAUCAUCAACCCAUGAAGUAAGAAUAGAGCCUUCAUAUUCCCUAUCACUGAUUGAUAUAAAGAAGCUCUUGAGUUCCAACAGAGCAGUCCUCUCUGUUUGCAAGCAUGCUUUGUAUCCAUGCAUUUCAUUCAUCAAAACAAUAAUCCAAAUUAGUGAAAUUAAUGAGAACUUGACAAAGGAAGUACUUUCCAUUGCAAAGCAACUUUUCAAUUGGUUAAUAUAAAAUUUGCAACGAGGAAACUUCGAUAUUUAUACUAAACAUUUAUCAUCAUGGACCUUGCAAUUUGAUUGGCUGAAGAUUUCCAACCACCCAACCUAACGAAAAUGAAACAUCUUAGAGAUAUCAAGUAAUAAAAAUAUUUGAUUAUCUUAUUUUUGUUUUAGAGGGUUAUUAAAGACAAAACAUUGUCAAUACAUUAUAACAUCGCUAUCUUGAAGUCUUCGUCUUUAGUGAAGACUUGUAAGCUUGAAAUUACAUAUAUAUUGCAACAUCGACCCAGGAGAAAAAGAACUUCACUAAUACUCCGUGAAAAAUAAAAUUAAAGUUGACUGACUCUCGAAUUAAGCCAACAAACAAGCGAGUGCAAACUAUAUUUUCUCCAACAGUUUGAUGGAGAUAGUCGUAACUAAUAAAAUAAAAGUUGUGUGAAAGAGUUUAAAUAAUUUAUCCGUAUAUUUGGGUUUACAUUGGAUGAUCAGUUAAUCUAUUAAAUAAUAUGUUUUGUAAAGAAUUUGAUUGGAUGUUUGAUAAGUUUAAUUUCGUAGUUUAAUUACUCAUAAAAGUGUGAUGCACUCUAAAAUGACAAACACAUAAAUGUUAUUUGAAGCUUUUGUGACCCUUCAUGUUCAUGCAUUUGAAUCAAAGCUAUUAAAAUCAAAUAUAUUGAUAAACCUUAAUAAGGAAAUUAAGUUUCGAUUGCUCUCAAUCUGUAACUCUACUACUAUUACAAUCACUUGAAAUGACAAAAACAGAAAUUUCAUAUGAACUUGGGACAGAUGUACACGGGUUCAAUUUAGCUAAUUUCCCAUAUACUUACAACUACGUACGGGGAAAAUUAAAGCUGAUUGAUUUUCAAAUUAAGCAACAAACAAGCGGCUGUCCUACUAUUUUUCCUCUACCAAUUGACGGAGACCGCCGAUGCUAUAAAACAAAAAUUGAUUAAGAAUUCAGAUAAGGAAAAUUAUCAACUGUCCGUCCUAAGUUUAUCAUUUAUUAAUUUUUCGCCUUAAGUUUACAAUUCGUAUUAGUCAUCUACUAAAAAGAUAGAAUUACACUUAUGAAAUGACAAUACAGAAACAAAUACAAAUGGCAAUAGUGGUAAUUUUGUAUGAAUUUUUCUGUUCUUUUGGUGGUUGGUUGAUACAAAUUAAAAACAUAAGAAGAAAAAUAAAUAAAUUCAAACUUUUAGUAUUUCUGAUAGCAGGUUAAACCAAAGGAGGGCUUUACAAUUUCCCUUUAAAUAAUUUAAGGGUGUGAUUGCGUUUCUAUUGAACUAUAUGCUUGGAUUUGCAUUGAAUUAUCAAAAAAUCUAUGCAAGCAUCGAAUUGUAAUGACUGACGAAGACUUAUAAGGCUUGGACCAAUGAAGAAAAAUGCUUCAUUAAUGCUCCGUGGAAAACAAGCCAGUUUGGAAGAAGUUGAUCGGAUAGUCAACAGUUGAUUGAGAUAGUCAACUAAUAAAAUAAAAGUUAGUUGAGAUAUAAUUUUAAUAAUUUAAGCGUCGUUUGGGUUUGAAAUAAUCAAAUAAUUUAUUGAGAAGAGUUGAAUUCCGUUAUUUUAUUGAGAAGAGAUCCAUCACUCCCUCCCAAUUAUCACAGCAAUCAGAUGACAUUCCUUUAUCAUCGUCAAACCAUGAACUAAGAGCUUCGUCAUCGUAUCCAAUAUCACUGGCUGAUAUGAAGAAGCUUUUGAUUUCUAACAGAGCAGUCCUCUCAGUUUCCAAGCAAGCUUUGCAUCCAUGCAUUUCAUCCAAAACGACAAUCCCAUUGCAAAACAGCUUUUUAUUUGGCUAAAGUUAAAUGUGAAUUAAAUAUCUUUGACUGGUGAUAUACAUAUAUUCAGAGAUUUGAAGUGCUCAAACCAAAAAAAAAAUAAAAAUAUAAAAAUAUUAUUAUAAAAAAAUUGAUGAAUAAUAUAGUUCCAGGAAGUGCUAAUAUGGCUCUUUGAACUCUCUUUACAAGUAUAGUACAGUAUUGGUAGAAAUUUAUCCGGUGUGUACAAGGGCUUGUAUAUUUUGCAAUAAAAUAUACAAGCCAAUAUGAUUUUCUUUCUUUCUUUCUUUCUUUUUUUUUUAGAAACAUGAAUUGGUUCGUCCAUCAAUUAAUAAUAAAACCAUAAUGUACGCCGGUAUGAGUUUAUCUAAAAUCACCGGCUACACCAAUAUCAUUGUGACAUAGGAAGCGAUGAGGAAAUUUACGAAAUAUUUAUUAAACCAUAGUCUACACCAGUAAGAUGGAAUUAGCAUUCAAUGAUCAUAGACUUUCUGCAAUUUCAUUGACUUGUGAUCAGGGAGUCCUUAUUCUACAAUAAUUAUAAUCAAACAUGCACACUGCAAGGCAACCUUCAAUUGACGUAUUCUGUCAACUAACUGGGGACAGGGGUCAUAAAAGGGUACGGGAGAGAAAGCAUGAGUCUAUGCACAGUUCCGGUUUUGCUAGUUGAUGGAACAUGGAGGUUGUGUGUUAAUGUUAACCAAUAGUCAAGUUUAUGAACACAACCAAGCAAUCGUAUCAUCAAUCAGAGCCACAUUCGAUGCACGACUAGUAAAUAUCAUAAUUGAGUUUGAGGACCACAGCCGCACAAUGAAAGAAUUUGAAUGAAGGAAAAGUAAAGCAAAAUGAAAAGGAAAAGAGGGGAAUGCUAAAGAAAAAUAAGCUAAUUCAUCAGUAACUCCAUAUGACAAUUGCACCCAAAUUUUGGAUGUUUUUAGCCUCACGAAAUUUCAACAUUAAUGAUAAAUUACAGAUAUGUGAAGGAAAACUUAGAAACCAACUUGUGUUCAUAGAGAAAAUGCUCAAAAAAUAAAUUAAAGGAGUGCAAGGCUCAAUAUAAUUCUUUAGCGUGUGAAUCAAAAUAAUUAACAGAGACUGUCCCGCGUGUCACAUGUAACUAAUUUUGGCGCCAUCUUGAGCUACUUCUGUUAAGGCCUUCACUCCAUAGUCUUAAGAACACAAUGCACAAUAAAUUCUUCAGAUUCAUAUGGCAAAUGAAUUGCACAACAAGGCAUAAUUACUCAUAAAAGAAAGAUACAGUAAACCAUGGCCUGGUACUGUCGUUUUGUGCGUUCUAGUGGUAUUGUAGUUUAAACGAUACUCGUUUUUCUAUCUUGGUGGUUUCUUGAUUGUGUUCAAAUAUCAAUAAUCGAAGCAAAUAAGUUGUAGUGGUAUUGCACGCAACUUUUGGAUUGUGUUGGCGCCAUCUUGUGCUAAUUCUGUUAAGGCCUUCACUCUAUGGUCUUAAGAACACAAUGCACGAUAAAUUCUUCAGAUUCAUAUGGCAAAUGAAUUACUCAUAAAAGAAAGAUAAAGUAAACUAUGGCCUGGUACUGUCGUUUUGUGCGUUCUAGUGGUGUUGUAGUAUAAACAGUACUCGUUUUUCUAUCUUGGUGGUUUCUUGAUUGUGUUCAAAUAUCAAUACUCAGAGACAGAUAGAGGAAAGCUAAAGAAAAAUAAGCUAAUUCAUCAUUAACAUAAUAUGACAAUUGCACGCAAAUUUUGGAUGUUUUUAGUCACUGAAAUUUUUAACAUUAAUGAUGAAUUACAAGUAUGUGAAUGAAAACUUAUAAACAAAUUUUGUUUACGGGAAAAAUGUAACUGUGAAAGAAAGUAAAAGAGAGUAGAGAGACUAAAAACAGAGGAUUUCAUUCGUCAUUUCAUAACUAUAUUCCUACUCAGGCCUUUACUCUGGACUUAAGACCGCAUGUCCGAAAAAUUCGUCAGAUUCAUGUAGCAAAUGAAUUGCACAAGGAGGCAUAAAAAUUAGUAUAUUUUUCAAGGACCCAGCUUGAAAGCAAUGAACUAAAAAUUAAUACAUAAAAGUUCAAUUACACGUAAAGAAGGAUAACAGUAAACUAUGGCCUAGCAAGAUGACGGAUGAAAGAAAACCAUGGCCAGCGCCAAUACGAAUUCAACCAAAGGAUUCAUCUUAAUUGCAGAUUCAUCUUCGUCUUCUCCUCGAUUGGAUGUUAUUGCUGGAUUUUCCUAUGUUCUGUUGCAAGUCUUAUUAAUUGUUGGACCACAAAGACCGAGAUUAUAACUCUUUUCAUCAAACCUGCCAAAUUGUUUUUUGUCUGGGAUCAGACCGGACAAGUCCUUAUAUGACUCGUUAAAGUUGGAUAAGUAGUUGAUUAUUGAUCAGAAGAUCACUAAUCAGAAAAUUUUUCAUUUAUGUUUGUGUAAAUUAUUCAUAAAAGUAUGGUCUACUCUGAAAUUACAAAAAUAAACAUAAUAAAUUUGAAUAAAGGAAAGGAAAAUGAGAAGCAAAACAGAGGAAUGCUAAGGAUAAAUAAGCUGAUUCAUCAGUAACUCAAUAUGGCGAUUGCACACAACUUUUGGAUGUUUUUAGCCUCUGAAAUUUCAAUAUGAAUGAUACAUUACAAAUAUGUGAAGCAAAACUUAGAAACCAAUUUUUGCUUACAGAGAAAAUGUUAAAAAACAAAUAAUGAUAAAAGAGUGCAGAGAAACUAAAAACAGAGGAUUUCACGGAUCAUAAUUUAUAAGUGAUAUUCCUAGUGCAAGGCUGAACAUAAAUCUUAGGUGUGCGAAUCAAGAUCAUUAACGAAGAGAUCACGCGUGUCCCAUGUAACUAACUUUGGCGUGAUGUUGGAUGGUUGCAUAGAAUGAGUAGGGUAUCUUUCAAAGGUCAUAAUUUGGACUACAAGUGUAACUAACAACGACGAUGCUCAAGUUUGGUUAUCGUCGAUCACUGCGGAUUGAUGUUCGUAGCUCCUCCUAUAUCAAGGAAAUGUCAUAAUUACUUUCCAAACAUAAGAAAUACAACUAUUUUAUGUGAUAUGAUUCACAAUGAAUAUUUAUCCCAUAGCUUAUAACUCUCGAAUCCAUUAUUUGUAAAUAAAAAUUACCCUAAUACUCUCAAAACCAUCAAUUGCACCUUAUGCUCAAAAUUUCAUAUUCCAGCUCAAUAAUUAAAUUUCCAUAUCCUAUAAUACUAAUAAAUCAGCCACAUUAUCACCAAUCUCAUUAUUAGCCAUGAACUACCCAAACAUAAUAUAUAACAAUAAGCUAUUUACAUACCGAAUUGAGGAAAUAGUGAGCGCUACACAUUUUGGCUCUAAUGCCUUGGUGCCCUUGUGCACCUAAAAUGAUCCACCAAUUACUAAAAUUAGCUUGGGACUUACUACACCCAUUUGUUGGGAACCCUAACUAUAAAUAAAGUAUACAAAUCUUUAAAUUAAUUUCAUUUUCAUGUAAAUGCAAUUUCAGGUAAAGAUAAAAUGAUAGAAAUCUUACUCCAUUUGGUAAGAAAUUCAACUUGAAAGCUUGAAUCACUUCCCUCUCACUCAAAUCCUUUCUCUACACUUCCUACAUUUAAAUUCCUCUCCAAUGAAUUUCCAAAUGAACUUAGGGAUAAAAAUACUCUAGAAUGACUCUCGAAUCCAAUUUGUGAAAGACCAAACUCAAUUUUGGAAAAAUCCUAAAUCAUGAAAAUUUUCCCAUUGUCUUCCUCUCAUGCCCGUGAGCUUUUGCAAAGCAAUGGUAAGUGCUUUUUUUUUAUUCGCUUUACAUAUAAAGCUUAUUUUAUAUUUUUGUUUAUGGGCUUUUGAAAUAUUAUUUUAGGCCCAAUUAAAGAAAAUUAAUUUACCCAAAUAAAGAAUAUUAUUUUAUAUACAUUCGUAUUCAUAAGUUAUUAUUAAUAACUUGUAUAUAGAAGUCAGGGCAGUACACAAAUUUACUGAGUAAAGUUGUACUUUAAUUGGUGAACUCUGAAGGCACCAAUUAUAACAUCCAUUUCUAGCAUAUAUAUAUAUAUAUAUCAUGGAAAUCUGACAUGCUUAUACAGAUCACAUACAGGAUUCAAAAUUUAGAAGAUUCUAAAUUAUUUAAGGCCAGAGAUUGGGCCAGCUUGUUUAGUUAGUAGGCAAUGAUGGAAGGUUGCUUGGUAAAGCUGCUAGAUCUUUAGAAAUUCAGAGAUGACGGGCAGCAAAGAGUGAUAAUUUUUGUUUUCCCCAAUCACCUUGAACAGAGUGAGAAGAAACCAUUAUUUCGAUAUGUGCAGUUCUUCCAUCAUAUUGUUAUUUAAUGGUUGUUGUUAUUAAUUCUAGAAAAACAUUUUUCGAUUUGGCAAAUGGAGUUUUUCAUCUUCAAAAGAAGAGUCCCAGGUUCCAAACGUUACUGCCAUGGCUUCCAAGUCGCUGUUCUACAAAGAAAUAUCGGUGGCACCGCGAGAUCCCGUUGAUAUUACAAUCAACAUAGUAUUUGGGAAAAUUGCUCCUUCGGAUUGUAGCAUUUCGAGUCUCAGGUUCUUUCAAUCAACACAAGCACGUUCGAGAUACAACAGGAAGUUGUUAAAUUUAUAUUUGCAACCAACAGAAACUGCAGAAGAAACAAUAAGUCUAAUUUUAACGAAACCACUCGAAGGAACUUCGAAACUUGAGCAUAGUUUUAGAACCAAAUUAAGAAUUUUAGCAAAACACAUACAUUGAUACAUUCAUCAAUGAAAUAGAACCACCCUCUACGCCAAUAGGAGUUUAUCAAGCAAACCAUAGUCAUACAAAUAAUAAUUAGUUCAUUCUCUCCAGAAUGGCACGUUACCCAAGCAUGAAGGUAUUGACCCACUAAACAUGUUAUUUGAAAGAUCCAUGAUACGUAAUUUUGCUAACUGGCAAAAUUCAUUAGGAAUAUGUCCUUGUAGAGAAUUCCCUUUUAAAAGAAGAACAUGCAAAUUCGAAAGCUCAUUGAUCUGAUAGGGAAUCCUACCAAAGAAUUUAUUAUCCCUCAAAUCUAGAGUGAUUAAUUUAGAGCUUCUAAACAAUGCAUUAGGAAUUUACCCAGAAAUAGCAUUCUUCUGCAAAUAAAGGUGUUUCACUGAUGAAAGAUUGAAGGAAGAUACCAUGGACCCAGACAAACUAUUUUCAAAGAUGUCUAUAAGCUCAAGACUUUUAAGGUGGUUGAGUUGGACUGGAAUAUUAGCUUCCAAAUAAUUUUUUGACAUUAAAAGAACCCUAAGAGUUGAGAUGUUACCAAUCCAAUUAGGAAUAUUACCGGAUAACAUGUUGUCGGAUAUAUCUAACCCCUCUAAUGAAGUGGAGCUCCUCAAACCAUCAUCCAUCUUCCCACUGAAAUGAUUGUUGUCAAAAAUAAAUAAUUCAAAUGGGUCAAGUUCAUAUAUUUGGGAAAAAUUCGGCCAUAGAAAUUGGUAUUUGGUAGGUCUAACAAAUCUAGAGCGACGCAACCAGAGACUAUCGGUCAGGGUAAUUCUCCCAAAAAAUUAUUUCUAGAAAAAUCCAGCAUAUAUAACUCUUUCAUCUCACCUGUUGAAUAAGGAAUAUCACCUUCAAAAAUGUUUUUUGACAUAUCCAAAUAAAUCAAUUUCUGAAGGACAAUACCCAUAUUCCGUGAUAGCUUACCAGCGAAAUUGUUAUUGGAAAUAUCUAGAUGACGAAGCAUAUCGUGUUUGGCAUUGGGAUGUAGAUGAAGAAUUCCUGAGAGUGAGUUGUUCGCCAAAGACAAAUAGUUUUAUCUUGUGUUGUUUUGGAACAACCAAAUUGGGAAAUUGCCAACCAACUUAUUAUGAGAGAAGUCAAGGAAUUUUAAGUGGUCCUGUUGUAAAAGAAAACUUGGAAUGACAUGUAACUGGCAGUCGGAUAAUUUGAGAACCUUCAAUUGAGAUGUCGGGUGCCAGCUUUCGGUUUUCACUUGUAACAUAUUGCUUCCUGAUGAGAGUAACAAGACCUCGAGCUUUGAAUGAUUAGCCAAUGAAUUUAUUGAGAAUGUUCCUUGGAAAUUAAUGGAAGAGAGAUCCAAAUAUUCAAGUGAUGUGAAGUUGGUCAAGGUAGAAGGAAAGUUUCCACUUAAUUGAUUAUUAAAAAUAUCAAGAACUUUGAGAUGGGUCAAGUGAUUGAGACACUGAGGAAGGUGACCCUCAAAGUUAUUUGAGCUCAGAUCCUACUCAAAAAGAUUCCUCAAAUUACAUAUUUCUGAACCUGAAAAUAAAAGAUCAAAAUUUUAUAGAAUGGAAACUAAUCAUAGCGAAUUCGGUCAUAAUCCAAUACAAGACUUAAAAAACAGACAAAAAUCAAAUUGUCUAAUUAUUUUGGUCAGCACAAAUAAUAAUAGAGUAAUGUGAACUUAUUUCUCAUAUAAUAUGAUGUUGAUUGCAAAUGCGUUUCAAUAAUCUGAAAAAAGGGAAAAAAAAAUGCCCUCAGCACUUUUUGCUCAUCAUAACCCUAAGUCCUUCUUGUUUAUAAUUAUAAUUUUCUGAGGAAGAAUUUGUUCACUUGAUGUUGUUCAUUGGACAAUGGUUCUGUAACCUCUAUAAUGUAAAGAGAAACUCAUAAUAUUUUAGUUGUCUUCUUAAAUAAUAAAUUGUCUUAAAAUACAAUUAAUUUGUCUUAAAUUUAAUUUAUUCCUCAGCAUUCAAGGAAAAACAAAAACAAAAAAAAAAGAAAAAGAAAAAAGAAAUGGUCUUCAUAUAUAAUUCUGUCCAAGUACUUUGAUACACAAAUCAAUCGGAAGGUGGUGUAUCAGUAAUGCAAAUAUUUAAUUAUCAUGUUUCAACAUAACAAUUCUGUGUAAAUUGUUCGCUUUAGGUUUCUAGAGAACUGUUUAUAUUAUUAUUACUACUCAAAUUCAAUGCUUCCAAGUAUUUGAAUUUAAUUAGCUAAUCCUGUAUCAAGAAUUAAUGAACAUAAGAUAAAUGUCAUAUUAAUUAGAUUUAGAUUUUUUUUUUCCAGUUUUGACGUAUAGAUAUAAAUAAUACUUCAAAAGCAUUGAAAUGUAAGAGCUAUUAAAAAAUCGUUUUUCAUUCAAAGCUAUAAUUAAUGAAAUGAAGAUAGAUAUCAUUGUUCAUUUAAAAAAAAUUAAAUUCAGAAAAAAGAAAGAGCGAAAGAAAUGAGCAGGUGAUGUUAAUAAAUAGUGAGAGAGUAUGUCGAGGACUAAAAUUUAUUAAAGAAAGCAGUGGUUCUAAUUCAAAUUUGAUCAAGUUAGAAUUAGUCAAUUAUGCAUCGAGAAUCAAAAGAAUGAAGAAUGGGAAUUCAAAAUUAGACUUAAAAAUUAUAAUAAAGUGAUUAGUUAAGAUUCAAUUAAGCUGAUUUACUAAAAAAUAUUGAAAAAUAAAAGACCACAAUAUUGCCAAAAAGACUAGGAAAUUAAGUAGGAAGGGGUGAUUGUUGCGGAAUACCUUGUAGUUAUUCCACAACCACGAAGACCAAUUGCUUUCAAGUAUUGCAAAUAUGCCAAUCCUACAUCAAUAAAAAGCAAAAUGUUACUUUAAAAUUAUUGUAGAAGACUGUGAUCAUUGCGAUAGAUCGGUAAUUUCAGUAGCUUACCUAGGCUUCUUAAAGAGCCGCUUGUUAGAUUGAGGUUCCAGGUUAGAUCCAACACUUGCAAGUUUCUCAAAUCUGCUAAUCCUGCUCAGUAAACAUUAAUUUUGAUAAAAACAAUAUUCAUAAAUAUUUUAAGAGAUUAACUUGCCUGGCAUGCAUUUCUGCUGGCCUCAAACAUAUUUACCGUGCUUGAUUCUGGAACCUUCAAUGUUAUUGGAACGAAGAUUCAGAGUGGUAAGUGAAGUUAGUGUAUUCAAAUAUGGUAAUAUGUUGUCGUUGAAGAAAUUACCACCAAGAUUUAAGAUCUUCAGCUGUUUCAAACUCCCAAAGCUGUCGUAAGGUGCAAAUGCAUAUGAAUUAUUAUCAUUAAUUAGUCACUGACAAAAUAAUUAUGAAUGAGUAAGAGAUACAUAUGCUUGUACCUUUAUUCUUAUAGAAGCCUUUAAACCAACUUAUCAGAUAAGUCAAGGCGCUGCAGUUCUUCAAAAGGGUGAAAACAUAAUGACAUAUUCAGAAGAGAAACUUCAUAAGAAUAAAAGAGUUAUAAUCAGAGUAGUUGAUUUUUGUUUUCUGAUUGAGUGAGAGUUGCCUCACCCGUAGGGUGGUGGCGUUGCACUUAACUCCCUCCCAGUCGUUGCAACAAUCAGACGACAUUCCAUCAUCAUCAAACCAUGAAGAAAGAAUUUCGUCAUCAAAUCCAACAUCACUGGCUGAUAUGAAGAAGCUCUUGAUUUCCAACAGAGCAAUCCUCUUCGUUUCCACGCAUGCUUUGUAUCCAUGUAACUGAAUCAAAGCCAUGCCAAUCCACAAUGACAACUUCAUCAAAAGCAUUUUCAUUUUUAAUAUUAACUGCUAGAGAAACACUCACAAGAUUGACCUGUCAAUUGUUGCUCUCUUGAAUUUUUUCUGGUUCCAUAGCAAAUAUAUGACUUAUAUAUAUACAAUGGAAAUUUUGCGCAGAAUGAAAAUUUUGCACAUUUUCACGUGCCAUGUCAAUGAGAAAACAUGCAUGGAUAGAAAAAAGUAGGUGAGAGAAUAUUACCUGUUGAUACAUGUUAUCUGCUUGUGACUUUAGUACCGUCCAAAGAAAUUGAAAUGUGAAAUAAUUGAAGAUGCAAAUUGGUUGAUUUCACGGGCCUGGCCUCUGGCAAAGUGAAAUGUUGGCCACGCACUAUACCAGUAAAGUGUCAACAUUGUAGCAUAAGGAAAUUGCGGCAUCUCAGCUAGAUUUUGAGAGUCACUAUUUCGUAUAAUCAGUCCCAUUUGUUCGUGGGGACUCACAUUCUGUCCUAUUGUGGACUCACAAAUAUUUAACAUGAUUUUGAUAUUUUGAUAACUACUUAAACCGCAUUUCCUUGAUAAUUAAAGAAAAAGAGAAGUGAAUGAAGCAAAAGAUACUGAUGACCCAUAAUUAUGUAAAUAAAUACAAGACUUUACAAUAGAUUAGACCACCAAUUUGUGCUUUUUCGUCCAAAAAUAAUGCAUCUGCUUUAACAAGAUACGAGUGAAUUGGGGCAUAUCUUUCUUUCAUAAUGUAAACUUGCCAAAAUACAUGUAAUCUGCUGGUGAAAUAAUUUUAUAAAACAAAGGCUUAAAGUUAAAGCUGACUAAAAAUAUUGGUGUACGUCAAGAACGCUACGGGGAAAAUUUAACCGCGAGCUGCAGUCUGCAGUCCCCAGCAAUCCGGGAAAAGGCUGGGUGGUGCGGGCCUGCCCACUAAUUUGGCAGGUCUGAUGGGAUUUAUAAAUAAAAAUAAUGUAAUUUUAUAUAUUUUUUAAAUAAAAAAUUUGUUGAUGCCGUUGUGAGAUCCAUUGGAUCCAAGGUCUUGAAGAGGAAAGAUCACUAUGGCUGCAAGGUCUGGAAGAGGCAAGUCCAAUAAAGCCAAGGCUGACAAGAAGAAGAAAGAAGAGAAAGGUUUCAAUUGUUAAGCCUUAUUAUUCACUUCUUUCAUUGGAAAGUGCUUUUUGUAAAGUGCUUUUGCAUUCUAGCUUCCAUAUGUUCAUUGAUUUCUUUUGUUGUGCAGUAGUACCCAGUGUUCUUGAUAUCACAAUCAUCACCCCAUAUGAAUCACAAGUUGUUCUCAAGGUAUACAUAUAUACUUAUCAUUAAUACUUUCUCGUUUUGCCCUCACCAGCUAUUAUUAGGAUAUUAUUUUGUAAAACUUUAUAAAUAUAAAUGAAUUAUUGAUUAAUCAUCUUUUUCUUGUUUGAUUGAAAUUUGCUCGAAGGGCAUCUCCACUGACAAGAUACUUGAUGUGAAAAAAUUGUUGGCUUCCAAUGUAGAAACUUGCCACCUCACAAAUUAUUCUCUCUCUCACGAGGUAUAUAUAUAUAUAUUUUAUUAUCUCUCUUUUUUUUAAUUAUAUAUGAUUAUGAAUAAUGAUAUUAAACACUAGAUACUAUUUUUUUCCACCUUAUUUUUAUUUGUUUAUUUCUUUAUGAUAUUAAUGCAUUAUUAGUUGUUUUUUUUUAUCAGGUCAAGGGGUAGAAAUUGAAUGAUAGAGUAGAGGUUGUUACUCUGAAGCCCUGUUUGCUCAGAAUGGUUAAAGGUAGGUGAAGCUUUCUCGUGUCAAAAUUUCUGAAUUAAAAAGUCUCAUGCAUGUGGAUGUGGGUCUCAUCUUAUUUGUUAUUUUUAAGAGUUCUGCUAUUUACCUCGGGUUAAACCCCGAAAGCUAAAACAAAACGACGUCGUUUCCUCUUCUUCAUGAAACGCUACCGUUUCACCCUAGCAAAAGCAAACGUUCCUCUCCUCUUCAUUUUCGUCUUCCUCUCCUGACUCCUCUUCGUUUCACCAGGGAACGACAUUCGUUUUGUUCGUUUUGUUUAAGAUCCAAAUCGAAGAAAUUUCCUUUUAAACAAAUCUGCCAUUUGUUUUCUCCUUUGAAAUUUCCUCUUAAAAAAUCUGCCAUUCGCGCAGGCAUGGUCACCGUCAACGUGGCAGGCAUCACGCGCAUCUCUCAUUGAACUCAUGAAGCGUCACAGUUAUCACAGCUGCAGGUAAUGCUUUGAUCUUUAGCUUUUCUAGGUUACGGUAAAAUGGGGGCAAUUUUGAUAGCUAGCAUCAUUUCCGUUUUAUUUAAUUUUCAGUUGAAAUAGAAUGUUAAGGAAAUAAGUGUGUUAAAUUGCAAUUGGUUUGUAAUUUGUGCUAAAUUGGUCUGCAAUUUGUGCUUGAGUUGGUUUGCAAUUUGUGCUUGAAUUGGUUUGCAUUUGUGCUGAAUUGGUCUGCAAUUUGUGCUGAAUUGGUCUGCAAUUUGUGCUGAAUUGGUCUGUAAUUUGUGCAGAAUUGGUCUGUAAUUUGUGCUUGAAUUGGUCUACAAUUUGUGCUUAAAUUGGUCUGGAAUCACCAAAUAGUCCAGAAUUGUUGAUGUAACUUUUACAACUCUUAUAAAUAAUAGAAAGCAAGUUAAUUAGAAGCACCAAAAUAGUUCAGAAUCACCAAAAUAGAAGCACUAAAAUAGUCCAAAAUUGUUGAUUUUGUGGACACACACAGACACACACACAGGGAGAGAGAGACACGCACACACACAGAGAGAGAGAGAGAGACACACACACACACACACACACUGACACACACACAGACACACACAUAAAGAGACACACAAACACAGACACACACACAGAUACACACAUACACACAGCUUUGUUCAGCCCACUUUAGUAGCAAAUUCAAAUACCAAGAAACUGAGUUGGCCUUAAAAACAUUGUUCUGGUUUUCUUUUCAUUAUUAACUGUAAUUGUAUCCCUUUUUGAGCUGUUUCUUUCCAACGGUCUAUGGCUUUACAAAUAAUGUCAUCCAACACAACCGAGAAUUGAAUCUCAUUGCAAAUGUGUAAUGGAUGCGGUGAUCAGAUGGAGCUGUUAACGUCACGCACAACAAAAAAUCCAAAUUGCAAAUUUUGGAUUUGUAGAGGAUGUAACAACUUUCAAUGGGCAGAAGAUCGUAAAUCUAGCGAAGAGAAAAUAGACUUGUUAGCGGAUGAGUUUAGGAAGUUGGCCUUGGAGAUUGAGUGUUUGUCCGUUAAAUUUCAACUAUUGCAUAAAGAACUUGAGCAUAUGCGAGAUCGUGAAGUGCAGAGGCGAUUGUUGGACGACGAAUUUCGAAAGAGAGAGGCACUACGAUAUGAUUUUAUUAAAUUAAUCAUGAUUGUUGUAUUAUGUUUUCUAUUCAAGUAUUGUUUUUAAGUUGUUUCAAUUUGUACUAUGUUACUGGAAAAGACUUGUAUUGUAGAAUUUGACCACUAUAUGUAAUAGCAUUUUCAUGUUAAAUAUAAGUUUUCGAUUGUUUGAAUUAAUUCAAAGUAUUCUGAAUUUAGAAUUUGACCCCAAGAAUACUUCUCAAAAUUAUACUAUGUCCCAACUCAUUCCAAUAUGUUCCAAAUAGAUCCAUUUUCAGAAUUUACGAAGUCUAAAAUUUAAAAAAUAUCGAAAUACACAUACACCAAGUUACAUUAGCUUUACAAUAAUACAUAAAACAUAAGCUAACUUUGUUGAUUCGUCAAGCCAAUUCCAAUGAACUUCGAUCAUGUGCUUGGUUCAUUAGUUGAAAACUCCCCUCAAUUGGCCUCCUCGAAAUUUUGUUGCGGAAAAUAUUGCAAGUUUGCGUGAUGGACUCCGCUGUAAUUCAUCCAAGACUGAUAGUAAGGGAGGAAAAAUGCAUGUUCUAGGGGUGCUUGCUGUGCUAGCUGUUAUACAACAAAAAAAAAAUUAUAUACAAAUUAUCAAACAUAUGACAAUGAAUGUAAAUAGCAAAAAAAAAAAAUAUUACCAUAGCCAUAUGGCUCUCUUGUGUUGGGAAUGUAGUAGCCACUUGAGAAGAAAAAUCAUGUAUCUCCGAGUCCUAGAAAUAUGGUUAACACACAUUUAAAGUAUAUAUUAAAUUUAUUUAAAAUGAAUGUAUUAAAUAUAAAUGCAAUCAACAUACAUUUAAAGUAUACAUUAAAUUAAUUUAAAAUGAAUGUAUUAAAGUAAUUACCUCUACAGUUGUGCUUGUCGAAGCAUUAUUCGACUUCUGUUUUGGCCUCUUAAAUUGCUUUUGCUUUCUUUGACUAGGUGGACGAUCUUUACGCCGAGUUACUACUGGAUCAUGUAUAAUUUUGAUACAGCUUCCUGAUCCACUAUAAAUGGUUGUAUCGUGACCGUCACUUCGAACAUUCAGAGAUACAUCCUUCAUUGCUUUCUCGAUCCAACCCAUAAUAUUUUUAUGGCUUUCUUCAUUUUUUGAAGUUACCUCAGCAACAUCAUAAAAAUCAGUGCACUCCUCUUUAUAUCGCUGAUGUUCAAUGCUCGAACUUCGUGCAUCAUAAUUGACUUUGACUUUACUGUAGAAUCUCCGCACAUCUUUCCUCCAUCUUCGUAGAAUAUACUUUUCAGGCAGUAAUUGUAUACGGUUACGUGACAACACUGCGAUGGCGUGUCUGCAAAGAAUGCCCUUAUAUUCAAAUAUUGAACACACACAAUGAACUUCACCCUCAUCUUUUGCAAAAAUGACUUGAAAAGUAUUUUCUCUACUAUUUUCAUCGUUUUCAAUAACUUCAUAUUCUAAUCCACCACAACUGAAAACCUCACAAUAUAUCUUAUUCACCAGCUCUUGCUGAAAUUCUUGAAACUUGGAAAUAGUGUACACUUCUUCAACUUGCUUCUCCAUUGCAAAACUGGUACGACAUGGCAUCCGUUGGCUAAAACACCUAACAUCCGCUUGCCAUUCUUUCUCAAUUUUACUUUCCAUUGCUUUCUCAUAUUUCUCCACAAAUUGCUUCAAAGUUGUUUUCGAGUUAACAUACCCAUCAAAGAAAGCAUUCAUACUUUCACUACGCUGAGUGGUUGGCAUUCCAGCCCAAAAAGAAAUUUUUACGAAACAUGGAACCCAACGAUUUCUUUCCUCAUAUAAACCAUUUAACCACUGAUUACUAAGAUCAUAUUUAUCUAACAUGUCAUGCCAAGCUUUCUCGAAUUCAACAGGAGUAUAUGAAUCAUAAACAAUAGAAUGUAAUGAAACUCUAAUGGCAUGAUAUUCAACAUACCUUCCUAACUUCUCAGGCACCUUUUUCAGUAUAUGCCAUAAACACCAUCGGUGCCUAGUGUUUGGAAAAACAAUCUCAAUCGCAUUUUUCAUCUCUUUGUCUUGAUCUGUAAUGAUUCCAAGGGGAGGAGAGCCAGACAUGCAUGAUAGCCAUGUGUCAAAUAUCCACGAAAAUGUCUCCGUGUCCUCAUGCGAAAUCAACCCACAUCCUAACAAAAUUGAUUGACCAUGAUGAUUAAUUCCUACAAAAGGAGCAAAUGACAUGUCAUACUUGUUUGUAAGGUAUGUGGUAUCAAAUGUGACCAUAUCUCCAAAGUUUUUAUAGGCUGCCUUACUCCUUGGAUCGGCCCAAUAUACAUUUUUUAACCGGCCCUCCUUAUUUAGGUCAAGACUGAAGAAAAACCCAUCAUUUUCUGUUUGCAUUUUCUUAAAAUAUCUCUGAAUUGCAACAACAUCCCCUUCUCCGAGCCUUAAUCGCCUCACCUUGUCAAUAUGAUUUCUAGCAUCUUUUUCUAAGAAUGAGACAUUUUCAAAGCCACCAGCCUCAACAACAAUCGACUUAAAACUUUGAGCCAUUUUAAUUCCAGCUUCGUCAUUUAUUUCAAGCUGCUUUUUAACAAAAGGACUAAUGGUACGGUUGCAUCGAUAAUACCUACUCUUGCUCGGACUCACGGCACGGUUGUGUUCAAGGAUCAUAUUUCCAAUUACCCAUUUUCUACUAACAAAAUCCAAACGUCCUCCAAGUUUAGCAUUGCAUUCAAUUUUUUGGUUUGGUUGAAGCCGCAAAACAUUAGUGCUUUUGGCUUUUGAAUUGCCAUUUCGCCCACAAGUAAAUGUCACAUAUCUCAAACUCCCAUCAUCCCCUUUUCUACAAGAUCUCCACAUCACUGGAAACCCCUCUUAUAGGCCAUAAGCCUUAUAAUAUUCAAACAUUUCAUCAGAACUAUUAAAAGACAUCCCAACUGCUGGCUCAACAACUUUUUCCACCACCAAUUCCUCAUUAUUUUCUUCCAAAUCAGCCCCCUGCAAAUCCUGCAAUUCUUUAACUUCAUCAACCUCCUCCACUUACUUCAAAUUAUCCAUUAACUGCUGCAAAUUAAAACAAUUCAAUAUAUUAUUAUUUAUUUUUCGUGAAUUCAUUAAAUUUAGAAUAAAAAAAUUAAAAACAAAAUGAAACAACUACUGAAGAUUCAAAUUUAAACAAUUCAAGCUUGUUGUAAAAGCAUCGCAAUUGGAAACUGAAAAUGUCAAAUAACGGCAAGCCGCAAAACAUUAGCUAAUAGAAGUCCGUAGGCAUAAUUAAUACUCAAAUAACUUCAAAGUGUGGUUGAGCCAAACUAAGUUUAACUUAUAGCUAGCUCAAGCGAAAAUAUUGUAGGUCUUACAUGCGCAUGAGUGAAUUCCAACAAAAACAAGUUCAUGACUUACCACAAACUCAAACGUUAAUUCAUGUUGAUGCUAUCUCCAACUUAUCUAUUUAGGUUACGAACUAUAUUCUCAGCAGGGGUUAAAUUAUCUUCUCGAUUGAAUAUAAAGAAGAGAACAUUUGUAUACUCAAAUAUCUUCGUAAUCGAAAAUGAGAUAGAAAUUCGAAAAAAAAGUUUAAUACAAACAUGACAACAAAAAUGAGUCAAAAAUUCGUAAUCGAAACUGAAACUUCGAAAAUUUGAAGAUUCGAAAACAAAAUGCUGCCAAAAGAAAACAGUACCUUAGCUUGUGCAAAGCCACGUAUAAUCGAAACUGGAAUCUGUAAAUGCCGAAACUUAGUCUUAUGUCAGAAAAAUUUAACAGUUGCUGUUAAUGCCGAUGAGGUUAGGAAUCAUGGACAAUGUCGAGACUCUAUCUUGUUCAAGCUUCUGCUUUUGCCUUGUUUGAGCCAAAUCUUAUCACCUUCGAGGAAUAUAAGAGCUUAAAGAUUCUGCAUUUCACUCGGGUGUGGUGAAUCGAAGAGGAAGAGCUUAAAGAUUUUGUGUUUUUCUCAGUUCAUAAAGUAGCUGUUUCUUUGCGUUUUUUCUGCUUUAGUUGGUUUUGUUUUUACUAGGCUGAAACAACUACGUUUCAUGGAAGCAAAAAGGAAAAAAAAAAGAAACCAAAACUGCAUCGUUUUGGUUUUAUUCGGGGUUUGACGCGGGGAAAGUAGCAUUUUCCUAUUUUUAAUUGUUAACAUUUAGAUCUUUUUAGUUCUACAUCCAUAGCCAAACUAUUUUAAGUAAACUAUAUUCAUUUUAUUGUAUGUUUUUUAAGAAUUUUUUAAUUCGAAAUAAUUUUUUUAAUAUUGUGGAAAAAGACAGGUUAAAGUAAAAAAAUUAUUGACUAAAUAAAUAAAUAAAUGACAUUAUUUUAUUUUUUAACAUUAAAAAAAAACCAAUUUGAUGCAGUCCACUUAGUCCUGCACACUUGGAACGUUACCAUGCUUUUUAGUGCUGUACAUUUUGGACUCAACUGUCCUUGUCAUUUCAAGUAAAAGUUGAAGCCGUCUCAAAAGUAAAAUAAUAGGGUCCGCCUAAGUUACAUUUAACGUAACUUACGGCUGACCCGCAAAAUAUCAUUAAUCCCCCUAUACUCUAUGUUAUUUACAAUAUAUUUAUAAGUAUUAUAAAACUUUCUGUAUUGUAAAAUUUCGUUGAACCUCUUGUACUCUGUUUUAUUUUAAUGAAACUCUUGGAGUACGAAUUUGCCCCCUAUAAUUUUAAAUUCCCAAAAUACCCUACAGUUAAUUAAAAAUAUAAUAAUAAUUAAAUAAAUUAUAAUUAUAAUAAUUAUUUUAUUAUAAUUAUAAUAAUUAUUUUAUUAUAAUUAUAAUUUUUUAAUGGAUUAUUAUUAUUAUUAUUAACAAGAAUAAAAAGUAUUAUAACUAAUUAAUUUUUAGUUAAAAUGUUAAUAAUAACAUUAACAAUAACUAUUAUUGAUAAUUAAUUUUUGAAUAAUAAUAACAGUAACAAUAACAAUAAUUAAAAUACAAAAGAAUAAUUAUGAUAAAAAUUAAUGAAGGAUUUUAUACUAAUUUGUUACAAUUUAAUUUAUUCUGAUUUUGAUUUUAAGACAAAGUAAACAAAUAAAUGGUAAUACAGCUCAUUCUAAUUAUGAUUCCUGCCGUUCAAGUAAAUAAAUUAUUAUGAUUCCAAUUCUUUAUUUGGAUUCUAGAUAUGUCGAUUCUAACUUAUUAUGUUUUCAGUAAAUUUUGAUUUAUGUUUAGUGAAUGCACUAUAAAAUUCAUAAUACUUAUAAAAAAUUGUAAAUAAUAUAGAGUGGUCUAAUUGAAUAUAAAGUGAUUUACAAUUUUAUAGUGCAUUCACUAAAAAUGAAUCGAAAUUAGUUGGAAACAUAAUGAGUUAAAAUUGGAUUAGCUAGAAUUAAAAUGAAAAAUUGAAAUCAGAAUAAUUUAUUUACUUGAACUGCAUGAAUCCUAAUUAGAAUAAACUGUAUUACCAUUUAUGUGUUUACUUUGUCUUAGAAUAAAUAUCGAAAUGAGUUAAAUUGUAACAAAUUACUAUAAAAUUCUUAAUUAAUUUUAUUAUAAUUAUUACUUUGUAUUUUAAUUAUUGUUAUUGUUAUUAUUCGUCAAAAAUUAAUUAUUAAUAGUAAUUAUUGUUAAUUAUUAUUAUUGAUAUUUUAACUAAAAAUUAUUAUUAAUUAUUGUUAAUAGAUUAAUUAAUUAUAAUACUUUUUAUUGUUGUUGUUAAUAAUAAUAAUAAUCCAUUUAAAAAUUAUAAUUUUAUUUAUAAUUAUAAUAAAAUAAUUAUUAUAAUUAUAAUUUAUUUAAUAAGUAUUAUAUUUUUAAUUAAAUGUAGGGUAUUUUGAGAACUUAAAAUUAUAGGGGGCAAAUUCAUACUCCAAGAGUUUCAUUAAAAUAAAACAGAGUACAAGAGGUUCAACGAAAUUUUACAAUACAGAAAAUUUUAUAAUAUUUAUAAAUAAAUUGUAAAUAAUAUAGAGUAUAGAGGGAUUAAUGAUAUUUUGCGAGUGUUACGUUAAAUGUAACUGAUCCAAAAUAAUAAUGUGCUUUUAAGUAACUGGCCUAAACUUUAGAAAUUUCAGAAGUUACAGUAUACGCAGGUCACAUCUAGGACCAUUAUUAGUUUAAUCAUUAAAUGACAAAAUUCUUGAGGGGGUACUUAAAAAUGCAAGCAUCUCGUCCCUUGCCUGCUUCAUAGAUGCUGUUACUCAUUCCCCCUCAUCUCACUUGUGCAAACCAAAGAGAAAAGAAAGAUUAUUAUUUUCCACUUAUUACACAAAAAACAAUAAUUCCUUUUUAUUGCUCCAUGUUUAUUAUUUUAUUCUAUUUCUCCACUCCAGAAUCUCUCUUUCUCAAUUAAAUUUAUGAUAUAGAUAUUAAAGAUUUGCUUAAAUCAGAAAACUUGUUCAUAUUUCUGGUCAAUAUAAUACAUCUCCUGAAAGGUAAAAAUAGGGAAAAAAAAAACAAGAAUGAUGAAUUUUUUUUUGGUUUUGACUGUUUAAGGCAAUAAAGAAAUAUUUUGAAAGGGUCGGAGAUUACAAUGAAUCUAUACACUUGUGGAAAAUAAGUGCAACUUGAGAGCAUUUUGUUUUUGUUCCACUAUAUAUUUUUAUACAACUGCUGCCUUAGAUUGGGUGCAUCACUUCAUUAUAUAAUCAGUAAAAAUUAAUAAUAUAAAUGGAAUCAUUCUCUAUUACAAUUAUUCGACUUCAUGAAGUAACAACUGAUGUUUUUUACCACAUUGUCAAAAGAGUUCAACUUUUAUUUGAGAAUACACCAUAUAAAAGAAGAAAAGAAUAAAACAAGAGUACACCAUAGAAAAGAAAAAAAUAAAACAAAUUUUAGAAUUAGUAGAUUAGAAUUGUUAUAAGAAAGAGUUGUCCCUAUAACUUCAAUAAGUUAGCAAUGUUUCUGAAGUUUGUUUUACUAGCCUUACCAAACUUUUUCUAGUUGAUAUUAAAAUUAAAAAAAAAAAAAUUUUUCUAGUCAAACAUACUUAAUUGAACAGUUAAUUCAACAUGAAAACGAUUUGUCGCUUUAUGAUCCUAAUUUUCAACCAGCCGUAAAUUUUAAUCUAUUAAAAAAAUAUUAGUUGGUAGAAAUGUAAACAGAAGCAAGAAGGUUAUAAUUAGUAAUUUUAUCAUGAAUAAUUAAUAUGAUUAGAGUUUAAUAAAAUUAUAUGUAAAAACUUAUUUAAAGAGCAAAAAUUUUAUUUUUUAUCAUUUUUUAGUACUUAUAAUUAUAAUUUAAUCCAGAUGUAUUUUAAUUAUAAAAAUUAUUUUGAAAAAUAAGUUUGAGGAAUAGUUUAGUGCUUAAAAAUUAUUUUCUACUUAUAAUUAAGUUAAUAUUUAAUAGAAAGAACUAAAAUAAUAAAAGAAAAAAAACUUUGCCCGGCAAUUCCUUGUUAUUUACAUUUUUGGCACUGUCCCUUGCAGAGGACUACACCGAGGAAUCUCAGGCCGUGGCACACGUGCGGCGGCUUCUCGACAUCGUCGCGUGCACCACACGGUUCUCCAAGUCCAGAAACUCCCGAUUGCCGCCAUCGUCAGAGUCAUGUGCCAAAAAGAACGGCAGUAGGCCCCACCAGCCUUCACCAAACUCUGCCGCUCUGUCUGAUGGAGCAGCAACGGCAGCAGCAGAUAACCGAAGCGGGCCCCGCGCCACGUCAUCGCCAGUUUCAUCGGCGGUUUCGCCGAGUCUGGACAUGGCGGCCAUUCACCCGACGCCGAAACUCUCCGAGUUUUAUGACUUCUUCUCUUUCUCUCACCUCACUCCCCCCAUCUUAAGUAAGCCUAAUGUUCAUUUAUUUAUUUGUCUUCGUUUCUUACAUGGUUGAUCAAAAAAAAAAAAAAAGAAAAGAAAGAGGAAAAUGAUAUAAAUAUAUGUGAUUUAUUUGAAUAUGAAAUUUGUUUAUUGAUUUUGAUUUUUAAUAAUUUUGAUUUUGAAGAUUUGAGAAAAUGUGAACGCAAAGAAGGAGAGAAGCGCGACGGUGAUUAUUUUGAAAUUCAGGUGCCAUUUAAUAUAAAGUUCUGAUUGUUGUUGUUUGUUGUUUAUGGACUAAUUAAUUGUAGAGUUAUUCAACUCAUUAUUUUUGCUGAUGAAUUGGCCAAUGAGUGUUAAAGAUUUAAUAAUCAUUGUCUGCUAAUUAAUAAGAAUGCAUGGAUUAUUUUCAUGUCUUUGUAAGUAAUGUGAGUAUUUGAAAGCGCGGGAAACUGUAUUUUGUGCUUACAGAUAAAAAUCUGCAAUGGAAAGCUUAUACAAGUAGUUGCAUCAGUAAAGGGGUACUAUACUUUGGGAAAGCAGUUUUUCCAAAGCAACUCCCUGGUGGAUCUUCUGCAAAAUCUCCGUCGAGCUUUUGCCAAUGUGGGUACUCAAUAGUUGAAUCUACAGAUUAUUUUUUCCUUUUUUAUCUGAAUGCAUCUUUUUUUCCUCUGUAAAUUCAAUUAGCUUACCCAUCAAUUGUUUUGUUAAUAAUUAUGGUCAUUAUUCGUGAUGCAGGCAUAUGAAUCCCUAAUGAAAGCUUUUGUUGAACAUAAUAAGGUAACAAUUUCUGUGCUGACAUAGUUUAUUACCAAUUCAAAUGUGAUUUUAACUUGAUUUUACUGAUAUAGUAUAUUCAUUAUCCUUCUUCAGUUUGGUAAUCUUCCCUAUGGAUUUCGAGCUAAUACAUGGCUUGUACCUCCUUCUGUUGCUGAGUCUCCAUCAAAUUUCCCAUGCCUACCGGCAGAAGAUGAGAAUUGGGGUGGCAAUGGCGGAGGCCAGGGAAGAGAUGGAGAACAUGAUUUACGACCAUGGGCGACGGAAUUUGCUAUACUGGCUAGGCUUCCUUGCAAAACUAAAGAGGAGAGGGUGGUUAGAGAUCGGAAGGCCUUUUUGCUUCAUAGCCAGUUUGUUGAUGUCUCAAUUUUUAAAGCUGUUGGAGCAAUACGCUGUCUCAUUGAUUCAAAUUUACACACUCAAGAUACAAUCAAUGUCCAAAAGGGGGCAAUCUUGCAUGAAGAUCGUGUGGGAGACUUGUCCAUUACGGUAAAACGUGAUACAGUAGAUGCAAGCUUGAAGUCUGAGGUUACUAUUAAAGGAAAUCAGUUAUCUGGUAUGUCUACUGCAUAAGUUGCUCAAAGGAAUUUACUAAAAGGUGUUACUGCAGAUGAGAGUGUAGUUGUUCACGUAAGUCGAUUUCUCCUUUACUUCUUAUGCUUACGUUCACAGACCACACACAUAAGAGACAUUCAUCAAAGCUGAAAUUACUUACGUGGGCGGAAUAAUAUAGCUCUACCUUUGUCAGGGAGUGAUUUUUCUGUCGGAUUAAGAUGUUACACUCUUUAUCUGAUAUCUAGCAUUUGAUGAUGGCCUAAAAUACCCAUCCUCUUCAUUCUCUCUUUCUACACAUUUAUGAAUGCACAAGAAAGUCAAUUUUAGGUUCUUUCCUAAGAAUCACUACUCGUUACUAACCUUAUAUAUCUGGUUUAGCUUCAUGAAUCUUAUGUUGUCAUUCUGUUUGGUGACUCCCUAUUCUGUUGAAAUCACUUGAUAGUAGGUCUUUCUACCCAUUUUAUCCAUAUCCCUCUGAUUUUCUACUUGUAGUUUGCUCCAACUUAAUGUCAUCAACCCUUUUUGGGGAAGCCUAUUAACCUUGGUUGGGCAUGCUUGUAUUAUAUCAACUAGUGAUACAAUUGCUAAAGUUUUCAGCAUGGUAGAUCUUGAAAUAAAAUUUUCUUGAAAUAUCUAGAUUUAUCUUCCUUUUCUUUUUCCUUUUCUUUUAUUUUAGUUUCAAAGAUUUUGUUAUAAAGAGAACUGAAACAAUAUAGUUUUUGGCAGGAUACCUCCUCAUUGGGUACCGUCAUUGUAAGACACUGUGGAUACACCGCCGUAGUAAAGGUUGUUGGUGAUGUGACGGAGAAGUUUGGCACACAAGAUAUUGAAAUUGAAGAUCAACCUGAUGGAGGAGCUAAUUCUCUUAAUAUUAACAGGUCUGAAAUUGUAAAACAAUGCUUCCUCUGUCGAUUCCUCUUAGCACACAAAGACUAGGAAAUCUACAGAUGGAGAAUGGCUGUAAGAUAUGAAAAAUUAUCUUUCAACCACUAACCGUUUUAAGCUAUUCUGCAAGAUAUCUUAGAAAUGCUAACUGGUAUGAGCUUCUUUGCUUAGUGUCUAUCACAGUUGAAUUCAUGAUGCAGAGCAUUGUUAUUCUCCUUAUUUUUACCAGAUAGAACAGGAUUGAAAUGCUGGUGUUGGGGAUUCUUAAGAAAGGAUAGCACCUGCUCCUUUUUCUUCCUGUUUAGAUGGGAUCUAAUCAGUAGGUGUCUGAACUCUUAAGGGGAGUUGAUGUCAGAUUUCUAAACCAGGUUUUCUUCAAGUGUUAAGUUUAUGAAUAGGCCAAAGAAAAGAAAGCUGAUAUCUAGUUAGGGAUAUGUACUCCUCUUUCAGCAUCCUAUGGACCAGAAAAUGGCUUUUCCUCCAUUAAAAUAUGUGUGAGAUUCUUCACUGUAUGGGGAUGCUUCACCUCUGCAUAGUUGUAGACCACCUAAAAAAUAACGAGUGGUUGCAGGAAACAUUAAGUCAUGGCUUUCACAAUAAUGGUUGAGUGUUUAUAGUUAUGUGCCUUGACAUUGGUUUGUAAUUGUUAUAUUAACAAAAUAACCAGCAGACAUCAUUGAUGAUGUUCAAAUAAUGGAUAAAGGAAAGUAUAAUUACAGUGGAUGCUCAGUUGCUGAAAUAGGUCAUCAGCUUUUUGGAUUGUGCUAUUUCAGAAAGUAUUUAGACCUUCUUUGGUGGAUUCUGCCUUUGUUUCAUAUACUCUUAUAUCUUUCUCCAUUUAAGUUGUUCUGACAGGGUAAACUAUUUAUUGCAGCUUAAGGCUUGUACUUCAGAAGUCUUUCAGUGCUGAAUCAGCUAGAGGAGACCAGUCACCUCUGUGCAAUUUGGAUAAUUCAGAAGCUCUUAGAAGUCUUGUACGAAGUGUUAUUAAACAGAGUUUAGCAAAGCUAGAGCUGGAGCCAACUGCGUCAGAAAGAUCUAUUAGAUGGGAACUUGGUUCUUGUUGGGUGCAACAUCUACAAAAGCAGGAAACCCCAACAGAUACCAAGUCAACGAGGUCUAGGGAUGAUAUUGAGACUGAACAUGCUGUCAAAGGUCUUGGGAAGCAAUUUAAAUUUUUGAAGAAGAGGGAGAACAGACCUAACCUUGUUGGUAGCAAUAAUGAGGCUAACGAAGAUGACAAUGGACCGUGCAGCAUGAAUGUGGGAACUAAUGGCAGACAGCAAAGCAAUGGCGAGCUCAAUUGUGAGAUGGAAUUGAAAAAACUAAUUUCUGAAGAAUCCUUCUUGCGAUUGAAAGAAACUGGCACUGGCCUUCAUUCAAAGGUUUCAAAAUCUCAAAUUUUUUUUGCAUUUCAACUGUAAAGUUUGCUACUUUUUGUGUUUUCAUUAUGCUAAAUUUGGUUUGUUUUAUUUUCAUAUGGAAUGACUGGUAAAAUUAAUUUCUUGUGCAGGCAGUGGAUGAGCUUAUGAAAAUGGCAUACAAAUAUUAUGACGACAUUGCUUUACCAAAGCUGGUACUAUUUAAUUUAUUUAGGGCCUUUGUUGCAGCCAAUUUAGACGUGUGGGGAUGGUUUAUGGACUAAUUUGCAUUCUUUAUUAGGUAACAGACUUUGGAUCACUUGAACUUUCUCCGGUUGAUGGCCUCACACUGACAGACUUUAUGCAUUUAAGGGGACUACAAAUGCGCUCUUUAGGUCGCGUGGUGAGGAAUUUCUCCCUCUCUUUCUCUCUCAGACAUGCAACAUAUUCACCCGUGGAAAUCGGAAUAAACAAAUGUUGUCUUUCUUUAUGUAAACAAAGCCCCUAAGUUAUCUUUCUAUAUGCAAACAAUCUCCCCAAGUCUUCCUGGAUUGAAUUAUCAAUGUUCCUUUUUGAAAAUUGUACUACAUGAUAGAAUUUUUGACAUGGUGACCUUUUCCAAGAUAUUGAAUUAUUGUCGUCUUUAGAUAUUACUGUAUGUUGUAUGACAUACAAUAUUUUGAGAAAUUGACAUGCUAAUACUUGAAAGCCUGGUAUUCUUCUUCUGUUGGUUCUAAUCCCAUUUACAAAUUCAGGUUGAACUUGCAGAGAAGCUUCCUCACAUACAAUCACUUUGUAUUCAUGAGAUGGUUACUCGAGCGUUCAAGCAUGUACUUAAAGGAGUCAUCGCAUCUGUUGACUAUUUAUCAGACCUAUCUGCAGCUAUAGCUUCUUCCCUAAAUUUCUUAUUUGGCUGUUGUGAGAUGGAAGAUGACCAAAGCUUGAAUGACGAUCAUAUCCUCAGAUUGCAGUGGCUACGAACAUUUCUUGGCAGAAGAUUUGGUUGGUCCCUGAAAGACGAGUUUCAGCAUUUGAGAAAGAUUUCAAUUCUACGUGGGCUUUGCCAUAAGGUAAGGUACUGUCUUUUCGGUUCCUUUGGCAGUGGAUUAUUUUCAAAGCUUGAAUUUUGCUUGUAAACUUUACCCAGGUUGGGUUGGAGUUGGUUCCAAGAGAUUAUGAUAUGGAAUGCCCAAACCCAUUCACGAGAGAUGAUAUUGUCAGCAUGGUUCCUGUGUGCAAGGUGAGACUAUGGGGAUCUUUCAGUUUUCUAUUAUUGCCUUCAACACAUUCAAUUGACUCUUAAGUAAGUAGCACUGCUUGAUUUACCAGAGCAACUUUGUGAUUUUCAUUCUUUAACUGAUUAAGGUUUAUUUAUUCAUAAAUUAAAUUGGAAGUUUGAAAAAAUGUGACCUUUGUAUUGAAUCUGCUUCGAACGAAUGCAGUUUUUAUGUACCUACUUUAGCUUUUGUUUGUCUUUUAUUGGCUCUAGCUCCUGAUCAUACCAUACCAUUGGCAGAUAUGUAAAUCGUGCCUUAUUCCUUUUGCAUUUUACUUGUGGACUUUCACAUCCAAACACGGCUGCAACAUACAUAAAUGUGGCUAUGAUGGAAGCGGGCAUGGGAAAUGUUCAUCUUUCUCUUAGAUAUUUGCAUGAAGCCCUUAAAUGCAACCAAAGACUAUUAGGAGGUGACCAUAUACAGGUUUCUCUCUCUCUAUUUACGCAUGUAUACACACUCUUUAGAAUUAUAAAUCUUUCUGUAAACUCAGAAUUUUGUUUGAUUUCUUCACGUGACAGACAGCUGCAAGUUAUCAUGCCAUAGCCAUAGCUCUUUCUUUGAUGGAGGCAUAUUCACUAAGUGUGCAACAUGAGCAAACUACACUUAAGAUUCUCCAAGCAAAGCUUGGACUAGAAGAUCUGCGUACUCAGGUAACUACAUGUAGUCAUAUUUUAAUUGGUUCUGUUGUGCAAUUUGGCUAGUUGGCUUUUCUCUUGUCAAUCUUUUACAGGUGAUAUUAUGAUAUAAAACAAAUUGUAUUGGAGGCAUAUUUUUGGUGUCAAAUAUGGAUAUGACUCAUUCAUUAAUCGUAUCGAAAUAUCAAAAUACGGAUAUGACCCGUUUAUUAAUCGUGUUGACUUGUUUAAUAUUAAAUACAAACAAAUUAAAAAUUAAUUUUAAAAUAACAAAUGUGUCAAAAAAUUGAAUUAUAAAUAAGUUAAAAUGACAUAAGUAUGACAUGAAUAAGUUUAUAACAUAAUGUGAGUAUGACAUGAGUCAUUAAUUUAGUGUUUAGUAUAUAUUUUAGUUUUUUUUUCCAAUAAUAUUAACACAUAAUAAUUGAUAUUUGUGCUAUAAACGUAUAAUCAUAUUGAGAUGGUCCAAAACAGAUACGACAUGGUUAUUUAUCGUGUUGUGUCAACUUAUUUAUUAUUCGUGUCAAUCGUGUUGUAAUCCAUUUUCCCACCUCUAAUCUUAACUGUCGUAAGAGAAUUUCUCAAGUUCCAUAUUAUUGAUGGGAAGAGAUUUUUGUUAUUUUGUUGUAUUUUUUUUCGUUUUACAGGAUGCUGCAUGGCUGGAGUAUUUUGAAUCAAAAGCUCUAGAGCAGCAAGAAGCGGCACGGAAUGGAACUCCAAAGCCAGAUGCGUCCAUUGCGAGUAAAGGUCACCUUAGGUAUUAACAGGGUAUUCCCACAUUACUUGUUUCUAAAUUGUUGAUUAUUUCUUGUGGCACCAAGACCUAUAAUGAUCGCUUUUUGCAGUGUAUCAGAUCUCCUGGAUUACAUUAGUCCUGGUCAAGAUUCUAAAAGAAGCGAAGCACAUAGGAAACAACGACGUGCAAAGGUAGUAUAUACUUAGUGCCUGUUUAGUAUGACUUAUCUAAUAAUCAUAAAUUUUUAUUUAAUCCCAUAAGCUGUUAUCAAUUUUUUUUUUUUUUGUUUAACUGUUUUUUUCGUAGAGCUCUUGAAAAUUAAAUAAGUUAUUUUGCCUCUACUACCAAAAGCUCAAAUUUUGUGCUUUUGAGAGUAGAGGUUAAAAAGUUUUUUUUAAAUGUUAAAAUAUCUAAAAUAUUUUCUACUUAUUUGACAAUCUUAUUUUAUUCUUUUCAAAACAUAACUUUAAAAAAUUUGCUUAUUAAAGUAAUUUUAUAAUUUUUAAUAAAAGCUCUUAUUGACAACCAAACAACACAAAUUUUUUGGGUAAAAACUUUACUUAUAAAAUCUUUACUAACAAAAGCUCUACUCAGAUAAGAUCUAUUUGAAAAGCUAUGUCAAAUGAAGCAUUAAGCCUGCUACUGUUCUCUGUUCCUUUUUUCUUGUGAUGUCAUCUGAAUGGAUUCUUAAACUAAUUGUAGUUAGGAUUUGGUAUUUUAGAGUACACUCUGCUGGCUGAUUACACGAGUAAACUUGUUGUCCAUGCAAAAUGCAACUAUAUAUCAGCAGGAUAAUAGUUCUACUUUUCUGAGUGAACUCUGAAGGCACCAAUUAUAACAUCCAUUUCUAGCAUAGAAUCCCCCGCCCAACAAAAAGAAAUCUAACAUGCUUUUACAGAUCGUAGACAUGACUGAAACUUUAGAAGUUUCUGAUCUAUUGAUGGCCAUAGAUUGGGCCAGCUGAUAGUUAGUAGGCAAUGAUGGAGGGUUGCUUGGUCAAGCUGCUAGUUCUUUGGAAAUUCAGAGAUGAUGAGCAGAACGAGUGAUAGUUUUUGUUUUCCCCCGUAAUCUUGAACAGAGUGGGAAGAAAUAGGGGUGGCAAAACGAAUAAACGAAUCGAAUUCGAAUUGAAUCGUAAACGAAUUGGGUCAAAAUUCUAUGGAUUCGGAUUCGAUUCGUUUAUUAAACGAAUUGAAAUUUCAGGAUUCGGAUUCGAUUCGUUUAUUAAACGAAUAUUCGGUUCGAUUCGUUUAAUUCGUUUAAUAGAAUUGAUAAACGAAUCGAAUCGAAUCGAAUCCAGAUUCGUUUAUUAUUCGUUUAUCCUUUACGAAUCCAUAACGAAUCGAAUCAAAUUAGGAUUCGUUUACAAUUUGUUUAGAAAAUAUAAUUAAUAAACAAAAUUAAGUAAAAAAAACAAAUUUAAUAUCCCACAACAAAAUACAAAUAAUUCAAAUUAUAUUAUACAGUCAUCCAAAUACCAAAUACCAAAUCCUUAAUAUUACAAAUAACAAUAAUUCAAAUUCAAAUUAUAAAGAAAUGUAAUUUCUUUAAUUCUCUUCAUUUGUCUUUGUCACCUUGAAAACAAAAAUCCUACACCAAAAAGUAAAUAAAGUGUUAUUAACAUGCUGCAAUAUUGAUAAUAGUCAUUGUAAAAUUUCAAAAAUCAAAUAUAUAGCAAAUUUGUAGCAUUUUCAAGGAAAUAAUAAUUGAACAAGAUAAAAACUUUACCUAACAAUAUUUCAAAAAUCAAAUCUAUUCAUCAUGUAUGCCAAAUUCUAACCCAGCAAUAUUCCUAAUGCACAAUAUUCCAAUACACAAAAUAUUAACAAUACAACAUAAUAAAUUAUAAAUUCUAAUACUAAAAAAAAAUUAAUCCAAUAUUUGUGGGGGCUUAUUCCUUAUCCUACAGAUAAUUUUUAACACCAUAAUCGAUUUAUACAUAAUUUCAUAAUAUUUUCCGAACAAUACAAAACAUUUUCUAAACCAUAAUUUCAUAAUAUUCUACAAUACAAAAUUUCUCAAUAAUUCAACCAUAAUCUCAUGAUAUUACCCUGAGUUGGUGAUGGCUUGUUGAUUCGGGUCGCUUGGGAAUUAAAUAAGCACUUAAACCUACCUUGCAUCUUCCUGAUUGCUGUUACGAGUCAAAGAAAAAUGAGAACAGAACUGAAACUUGGCAUAAUUAAUGCUCAAAUAAAUUACAACAUGCCCUGUCAAAUGUGGAUAAAACACAUAAACUGUGAGCAAAAGGUUUUUUUUUUUUUUUUUUUUGGCAUUGUCUUGCAGAAAGCAGCCGGCCUGGGCAAAUCAUCCAUCUGACUCCGAGAGGUCUACAUCAAUAUAUAUUAUGUCAAAGGAGGUGUUAUACACUUAUAAAAUCUAAAUAAGAACAUACUGUAUAUAAUUAAUAGCAUUAAAACCUUGAUUAUGGAUUGAUUUCCUAGAGAACAACUUAAUUACUGCUUCGUACUGCGCAAAAGAAAAAUAUAUUCAUUUAUAUCUCUUGGUCCAAGAUGCAGCUGGUUAAUUAGCACUUUACGCAGAGCCACAGAAGCUGCUUCAAAAAUGGAUAGCUCGUUGCAGCUUCUCUGUUGGGUUCAUCGUCUAUGUUACUUAAAAUCAAAGUUACUACAAAAAGAUUAAAAGCGAUCUUCCUAAACGAGGAACUCACUCGGAACCUCUGGUUUAUCUUUUCCGUCACUGUUUCUACAAUACAAAAUUUCUCAAUAAUUCAACCAUAAUCUCAUGAUAUUACCCUGAGUUGGUGAUGGCUUGUUGAUUCGGGUCGCGCUCGCCUGGGUUUGCUGCUGCUGCACCGCCGCACGAGUUAGCUACUGCUGUGGGUUCGAGUGGCUGCGUCCCUCAAGUUCAAUCGAUGAUAGAUGAACGAUGGUGGUUGUAAUCGUCGGUUCGCUGUGAGUUAAUGACAGUGGCUACCGGCGGCUGUUUUUGUUGCUUGAUUGCUUCACUUGGUAUGGGUGGGUGAGUGUGAUUCGUGUGAGAGAGGUAGACAGCAACGAGACUACGAGAGCGGCUGAGUGAGGGGAGAAUUUUUAGGGAUUUAGCUUUAGGUUUCCGCUACUUUGUUUUUUUUUUUUUGUUAUUUACUUAAAUUUACAAUAUUAACCUUCAAAUUUUAAAAAGUUUUCAAAUAAAUUUAAGAAUAAAAAAGUAAUUUAAUUAAAUGAAUAAUAAAUGAAUUUUAACGAAUCGACCCGUAUUCGAUUCGUUUAUGACCCAUUUAUUAAACGAAUUCUAAACGAAUAAACGAAUCUAAAUUUUCAAACCCGCAUUCAAUUCGUUUAAUUAACGAAUCGAAUCGAAUUCACCCAUUUAUUAAACGAAUCAAUUUUUUCAAACCCAAACCCAUUUAAUUCGCAUCGAAUCGAAUCGAAUAAACGAAUCCUGACCCAUAUUGCCACCCUUAGGAAGAAACCAUUAAUUUGAAGUGCAAUGGACGGAUAUGACAGAUCUAUCAUUUUGGCUAGUAGAUGGAGUUCUUCCAUUCUACUGUUAUUUACUGGUUGUUUUUAUUGAUUCUAGAAAACAUUUUUCGAUUUGGCAGUUGGAGUUUUUCCCUUUUUUUUUUCUCCCCAUUUUGUAGGCCUUAGAGAACCAAAUAAUACUACAUAUUAGAUAGACAGGAUUAUUAUGUGCUAAUUUGAAGUAUUACCUGGUUGACAAUUUAAGACACUAGUAAAGUAUUUCGCUAUGAUUAUUUUUUUUUGAGAAUUCCAUGAUUCAAAAGGCCGAAGAAUUUCAUUAGUUUAACAUAGUAUAUAUUAACAUAAUUCCUCACUGAGUGUUUUUUUCAACAUUUCAGGCAUGUACAUAUCAAAUUCCCAUUUAUGUUCCACUGGAUUCUGCCUCAUGUUAUGUCCGGAUUUGUUGUAAUAAAUUUUGCUACUGUAAAAUUACAAGAUGAUUGUAACUUAAAAUGAACUAUUUCUAUUUGCUCAAUUUUUGACAUUUUAUAUGCAUACAAGUUAAAAAGGUUUUGUUUAUUUUUAUUUUUUUAUUUUUUUAUUUUUUCAGGUAAUGCAGAUUAGGGAAAAGAUUCAUGGAGCACAUCAUGAUAUGAUGGUGGAAGAUGCACUGCCCCAUGAUUGAUUGAAAAAGAGUAUGACUAUAGUGGAAAGCAAGACCGAGGAAGUAAUAGAAGACAGUGUUCAACCUGAAGAGCCAGAAGAGAAUGAUGAUAUUACUAGAUAUGGACCGGCAAUUUCAGGUGAGUUUGUGGAAGAAACAAAUUCAGAUGAGGGGUGGCAAGAAGCCAAUCCAAAAGGUAGGUCAGGAAAUGCUGCUGUUCGGAAGCUCAGCCGGAGGCAACCUGUUCUUACAAAGCUAAAUGUCAAUGGUUGUGAACAUUCAAAUCUUAGAGAAAAAGGCAAUAGACGGGAAAUUGUAUCUCCAGCACGGGAAAAAGCUUCAAGGACCACCACCACUGAGUUAACAGGCAUGAAGGAUUCAAUUAAAUUGCAGGCAAAAGCUUCUGUCUCCAAAGUUUAUGCAAGUCCACCAAACCUUACUGCCAUGGAUUCCAAGUCGCUGUCUUACAAAGAAGUAGCUGUGGCACCACCAGGUACGGUUCUAAAGCCAUUACCAGAGAAACCUGAUGAAAAAAUUGAAGAAAAAACUGAAACACAGAUGUGCAGUAAUGCUCCUGAGACAUCAAAGGCGGAGUUGAAUAACCAUUUCUCUCCCGUUGAAGAUGCGCCAGUUGAUGGUCAGUCUCAAGAAACUCAUGGAAGUGUAAUUCAAUCUGAAACUACUGCUGCAGAUACCGAGGAAGUUCCUUCUUCUUCUAAUGAGGAAAAGCCCAUGGAAACAAAUGGGAGUAAGCUUUCUGCCACAGCUGAACCAUUCAACCCAGGAGCUGUCUCCAUGACUCAUCUGCUAAACUCUGUAGCAGCCACGAGUAUUUAUGAUGCGAG
rnacentral:lncRNA from 1 species